UAAACAGAUGUAUAACCAAAAAGAGAUUCACACAACCUGUAGAUCUCUCUCUGCUCGACUGAUAACAGCUUUGACUUUGAGGAAAGAAGAUGAAGUUUGCUAUGAUGUUCCUGGUGUUGACGCUGGUGGUCCUCAUGGCUGAACCUGGGGAGGCUUUUUUUCACCACAUUAUACAUGCCAUCAGUCACAUAUUCGGGAAAAACAAAUACGAAGUGAUGAAAGCGCAGGAAGCGAUGGAACAACGUGCGCUCCAACAAGAGAACGACUUUGCCUGAGUCCAUGAUGGUCCAUUUGAAAAAACAAAUGCUUUCUUCUGCUUUUCUUCAACAUAAACAUUGAAUCAACCUAUCUGUUUUAAAUUUAUCUAUUUUUCAUUUGGAAUAAAUCUGCAUUGCAUUGCAAAAAUCA